CCUACGGGUGGCAGCAGUGAGGAAUAUUGGUCAAUGGCCGAGAGGCUGAACCAGCCAAGUCGCGUGAGGGAAGACGGCCCUACGGGUUGUAAACCUCUUUUGUCGGGGAGCAAAGAGAGUCACGUGUGACACAUUGAGAGUACCCGAAGAUACAGCAUCGGCUAACUCCGGGCCAGCAGCCGCGGUAAUCCGGAGGGUGCGAGCGUUAAUCGGAAGUACUGGGCGUAAAGAGCCCGGAGGCGGGAUGCCAAGUCAAGGGUGAAAUCCCCGCGCUCAACGUGGGAACUGCCUUUGAAACUGGCAAACUGGAGUGUGUGAGAGGAUAGUGGAAUGCCAGGUGUAGGAGUGAAAUCCGUAGAUAUCUGGAGGAACAUCAGUGGCGAAGGCGACUAUCUGGCACAUAACUGACGCUGAGGAGCGAAAGCGUGGGUAGCAAACAGGAUUAGAUACCCUAGUAGUC
rnacentral:rRNA from 1 species